CUACCAUGCAGUCGACGAGAAGGGUAGCAAUACCUGAGUAAGGUGGCGCACGGGUGAGUAACACGUGACUAACCUACCUUUUAGUGGGGGAUAACCUAGGGAAACCUGGGCUAAUACCGCAUAAUACCUACGGGUCAAAGCAGCAAUGCGCUGAAAGAGGGGGUCGCGGCCGAUUAGCUAGUUGGCGGGGUAAUGGCCCACCAAGGCGAUGAUCGGUAUCCGGCCUGAGAGGGCGCACGGACACACUGGAACUGAAACACGGUCCAGACUCCUACGGGAGGCAGCAGUGGGGAAUUUUGCGCAAUGGGGGAAACCCUGACGCAGCAACGCCGCGUGGAGGAUGAAGUCCCUUGGGACGUAAACUCCUUUCGAUCGGGACGAUAAUGACGGUACCGGAAGAAGAAGCCCCGGCUAACUUCGUGCCAGCAGCCGCGGUAAUACGAGGGGGGCAAGCGUUGUUCGGAAUUAUUGGGCGUAAAGGGUGCGUAGGUGGUUCGGCAAGUCUUGUGUGAAAUCUUCAGGCUCAACUUGAAGUCUGCACAAGAAACUGCCGGGCUUGAGUAUGGGAGAGGUGAGUGGAAUUUCCGGUGUAGCGGUGAAAUGCGUAGAUAUCGGAAGGAACACCUGUGGCGAAAGCGGCUCACUGGACCAUUACUGACACUGAGGCACGAAAGCUAGGGGAGCAAACAGGAUUAGAUACCCUGGUAGUCCUAGCCCUAAACGAUGAUCGCUUGGUGUGGCGGGUAUCCAACCCUGCCGUGCCGAAGCUAACGCGUUAAGCGAUCCGCCUGGGGAGUACGUCGCAGCUGAACUCAAGGAUUGACGG
rnacentral:rRNA from 1 species